GUCAACAUUGCCUCAUCUUGUCUUUUCUUUGUUUUCUCAACUAAUAGCUUAUUUUCAAGCAAAUCAUAACCCCCACGAGAUAGUAAGUGGGGGCAAUCAUUGUAUUUUUGAAUUUCCUGUGCCUUUUUCCUUAUUCCUUGUCAUACACCAUAUAGUAUUUCCAUCUGAUUAAUUCUAAUGAAAUGAUAUAUUUAAAGUAAAACACAUUGACAUCUAACCUACCAGUUAGGGGUUUUGCAGCUUGCAAUAACUUC
rnacentral:lncRNA from 1 species